AGAGUCCCUUGCACUCAGGAAAAAGGCACAGCUGUGUCUUUCACGCCCGGGUAACAACGUCUUCAAACAUCACAGAGACACAAAUACUGAUUCAUGGGCUUCUGGAGAAAGCAUACUGCAGAGGACUUGCAUGCUUGGAUGCCAAACCUGAGGAUAUUUUAAUUUCUUACAUCGUGCCCUGUCCUGAGCACAACCAUUACACCAGACAGGGGCUUUUCAGAUGGCCCCAAACAGUGGCUGAGCACAACAUCUCGCAUCCCUGUGAGGGAAACCCUAGUAAGACAGCAU